UACGUAGGGGGGCGAGCGUUGUCCGAAGUUACUGGGCGUAAAGCGCGUGUAGGCGGGUUGCCAAGUCCGCUGUGAAAGCCCGAGGCUCAACCUCGGAGGGUCGGUGGAUACUGGCAGUCUUGAAGGUGCGUAGGGGGAGGAUGGAAUUACCGGUGAGCGGUGAAAUGCGUAGAGAUCGGUAGGAACACCAGUGGCGAAGGCGGUCUCCUGGAGCAUUCUUGACGCUGAGACGCGAAAGCUGGGGGGAGCGAACGGG
rnacentral:rRNA from 1 species